rnacentral:lncRNA from 1 species
UCAUGAUAGUCUCUAACUGCUGUCCUGUUCUAUGGAGCCGAAAAUGCGUACUUCCUCCCUUCUUUCUUAGAUGAAGAAAUAAACCCACAGAAUCAAAUUCAGAAAGAAAUUUGGUUUGGUUGUACAUGGCUAUUAAACACCAUCCUGUUCCCUGGGCUUGUGAUAAAGGAAAACUGCAUAAAAGUGAUCAGUGAUGAUUAUGUGUCUAAGAAAGAAGAAAAAGCAAUAUUCCUUUCUGAACAUGGCAAAGCAAUCUGAAGUUACACAUUUCCCUCUAACCACUGAUUUGGCAUGGAUGACAGGAAACUAUCUCUUGACUAACCUUUUCCAACUCCACAAAAUGCUGCAUAUGAAGAUGCUUUAAUCCAUAUUAAAAGCGCUUGGAUUUUUAUCAAGGCAAACUGUUGGCAUUGUCAUACGGUUUCUGUAUACUGAUUACUUUAAUGCUUUUUAAGUAGCAAGUAAUGCAUAAAUGGAUGGACAUGUACCUAGAAAACCCUGUGAGAAGUGUCUCUUCAGAUCCUGGGACUUUUUAUUUCUGUGGAUUACAGUGAUUCUUGCAAUAAUCCCUGCUGUUAACUGCUCAUGCAGUUGUUCUGGAAUGCAUCUAUGAAUACCAUAACAGAUAAAGCUGUCUGACAAGGAAAACACUAAUGUUGGAAGAUUUGCGAACAUGAUGCAUGUGAAUAAUUUCCCCUUUAGGAGGCAUUCAUGGAUAUGUUUCGAUGUGGACAAUGGUACAUCAUCAGGACGAAGUCCCUUGGAUCCCAUGACAAGCCCUGGAUCAGGGCUAAUUCUUCAAGCAAAUUUUGUCCACAGUCAACGUAGGGAGUCUUUCCUUUACCGGUCAGACAGUGACUAUGAUCUUUCUCCAAAGUCUAUGUCGAGGAACUCCUCUAUUGCCA